UGCCUACGGGAGGCAGCAGUGAGGGAUAUUGGUCAAUGGGGGAAACCCUGAACCAGCAACGCCGCGUGAGGGAAGACGGUUUUCGGAUUGUAAACCUCUGUCCUCUGUGAAGAUGAUGACGGUACCUGACCAAGAAGCCCCGGCUAACUACGUGCCAGCAGCCGCGGUAAUACGUAGGGGGCAAGCGUUAUCCGGAUUUACUGGGUGUAAAGGGAGCGCAGACGGCAGUGCAAGUCUGGAGUGAAAGCCCGGGGCCCAACCCCGGAACUGCUCUGGAAACUGUGCGGCUAGAGUACUGGAGGGGG
rnacentral:rRNA from 1 species